rnacentral:lncRNA from 1 species
AUCAUAACAUGCAGAUGAAGACUGGCUUGUGCAGAAUCCUGCUAUCUUAAACAAAAGGGAUUCCUAAACCAAGUGUUAGUACAAGGUUUCAGUGCAAACUGCUGGUGGCUGCACACCCUCAGAACUGAAGAGGGCUUCUGCUGUACUGUGAUUGUGUGCAACAUGCUGCUCCCCACGCUGGAAUUACAAGGACCAUCAGGGGUGAGAAGAUAAUCAUGUUGUCACUCAUUAGAGCACUUAACAGUGGUUGUGAUUCUUGUGAUGGAAACAGUUUCUUUUGUGUUUGGUUUAUCAGUCUCCUUGUAUUAUUUUUGUGCCUAACAAGUGUUGUGUUCUCUUUUUCUUCAUUGUUCUCUCUGCUCCUGGGCACAAGAACAAUGUUGUUAUACUAUUAAAUCCUUAAUCAAAUCUGUGACACCUAGGUGAGCAGGGGAGAGGGUUGAAUUGCUGCUCUCAGUUGAGCUGUUCUCUCUGCCUGUAGACAGCUCUGCCCUGCAAGACCUGAGGGAACGGGCCGCCGGAAAUGAUGGCAGCGGACCAGCCUGGACUGGUGUGUCCCCCACCAGCACCCCAGACUGGAAAAGCCACCUCAGAAGGAUCUGAAGACAUCUGCUUGCGAGGUUCAAAAUGCCUGUUGCUGUAUGAGGGUUUCUAUGUCUAUUUCUUUCUAUUUCCUGCAAUCAGCAAGGCAGUGAACAUAAAUCAAGGGCCUGAGAGGAACCUCAAGAAGUUUGAAGAAGUCAAAUGUGAAGUUCUGUAGUGGGUACAGAAAAACCUGAUGCAGCUCUGCAGCAGCUGGUCGGGCAGUCCUGAGGGACCAGCCAAGAUGAGCAGGGGCAAAGAAAGACACUGCUUCUCGGUGCUGCUGAGACUGCAGCUGGAGGGCCGGGCCCAGUUCUGGGCUCCCAAAAACAAGAGAUCUAUGGGAACAGUCCCGUGGAGGCCACCAAGAUAAUCAGGACGUUCAAGCAUAGGAGCUGUGGGGACAGGCAGUGGGUUUGUUUGCUCUGGAGAACAGGAGCUCAAGGGGUAGGAAAUCUGACUUCAGCUGUGGAAUGGAAGGGGCAGAGAAGAUGAGCUGGGCUCAUCUUAGAGGUGCACAGUAAUGAGGACAUUUUGUGUAAUUUUGUGUUGCAUCAUACCACUAAUAAAACCAGUGCAAGUCAGUAUGGUCUUGCUGUACUUUACUGGGGUCUCCACCCUGUGGAACCACUGGGGGUUCCUGGUAGCCUUUCUGUUUCAGAGGGUGAAUGCAGGGGAGCCAGGCUGGGGGGUGUGUGGGGCAAUGUUCACUUGUGGUUAGGGACCUUCAUCCUACUGCUUAGAGAAAUAUGUGCUGUGGAAUGUUAAUACAGUAGAGCUGAGAGGUCCAGGAAAUCAAUGGGAAUGCCAAAUGCUUGUACAUGUCCCACACAAGCUUUUCCAGACAGGAUGUCACAAUCAGCUUGGUAAAGCCUUUUUUGAAAACAAUAUGCAUGUAAGCACAGGCUUUGCAGGCUGAGGCUCUGUCAGGUACUGUUUGUGGCAAGGACAGCAGCU